UACAGAGGGUGCAAGCGUUAAUCGGAAUUACUGGGCGUAAAGGGCGCGUAGGUGGUUUGUUAAGUGAGAUGUGAAAUCCCCGGGCUUAACCUGGGACGUGCGUCUUAAACUGAUAAGCUAGAGUGCAAUAGAGGGUAGUGGAAUUUCCGGUGUAGCGGUGAAAUGCGUAGAGAUCGGAAGGAACACCAGUGGCGAAGGCGGCUACCUGGAUUGACACUGACACUGAGGCGCGAGAGCGUGGGGAGCAAACAGG
rnacentral:rRNA from 1 species